rnacentral:SRP_RNA from 1 species
GCUGGGCAUAGUGGCGCGUGCCUGUAGUCACAGCUACUUGGGAGGCUGAGGCUGGAGGAUCACUUGAGUCCAGGAGUUCUGGGCUGUAGCGUGCUAUGCCGAUCGGGUGUCCACACUAAGUUCGACAUCAAUCUGGUGACCUCCUGGGAGCGGGGGACCACCAGGUUGCCUAAGGAGGGGUGAACCGGCCCAGGUCGUAAGCAGAGCAGGUCAAAACUUCCGUGCUGAUCAGUGGUGGUACUGUGCCUGUGAAUAGCCACUGUACUCCAGUCUGGGCAACAUAGCGAGACCCCGUCUCU